UUGGCAAUGUUUCUAGGUGGCAUUCAAA
rnacentral:piRNA from 1 species